UACGUAGGAGGCGAGCGUUGUCCGGAAUUACUGGGCGUAAAGCGUGCGCAGGCGGUGAUGUAAGACCGAUGUGAAAUCCCCGGGCUUAACCUGGGAACUGCAUUGGUGACUGCAUUGCUGGAGUAUGGCAGAGGGGGGGUGGAAUUCCACGUGUAGCAGUGAAAUGCGUAGAUAUGCGGAGGAACACCGAUGGCGAAGGCAAUCCCCUGGGCCUGCACUGACGCUCAUGCACGAAAGCGUGGGGAGCAAACAGGA
rnacentral:rRNA from 1 species